CGCGGCCUAUCAGCUUGUUGGUGAGGUAAUGGCUCACCAAGGCGACGACGGGUAGCCGGCCUGAGAGGGCGACCGGCCACACUGGGACUGAGACACGGCCCAGACUCCUACGGGAGGCAGCAGUGGGGAAUAUUGCACAAUGGGCGAAAGCCUGAUGCAGCGACGCCGCGUGAGGGAUGACGGCCUUCGGGUUGUAAACCUCUUUCAGCAGGGAAGAAGCGAAAGUGACGGUACCUGCAGAAGAAGCGCCGGCUAACUACGUGCCAGCAGCCGCGGUAAUACGUAGGGCGCAAGCGUUGUCCGGAAUUAUUGGGCGUAAAGAGCUCGUAGGCGGUCUGUCGCGUCGGAUGUGAAAGCCCGGGGCUUAACCCCGGGUCUGCAUUCGAUACGGGCAGACUAGAGUGUGGUAGGGGAGAUCGGAAUUCCUGGUGUAGCGGUGAAAUGCGCAGAUAUCAGGAGGAACGCCGGUGGCGAAGGCGGAUCUCUGGGCCAUUACUGACGCUGAGGAGCGAAAGCGUGGGGAGCGAACAGGAUUAGAUACCCUGGUAGUCCACGCCGUAAACGGUGGGAACUAGGUGUUGGCGACAUUCCACGUCGUCGGUGCCGCAGCUAACGCAUUAAGUUCCCCGCC
rnacentral:rRNA from 1 species